GGUCCGCUGGCUCAAUGGCAGAGCGUCUGACUACGACACGAUCAAUUGGAACGAGAUGAUCUUCAAGAGAUCAAAAAGUCAUCAGGAGGUUCCAGGCUCGACCCCUGGGUCGAUCG